GCCAUUUCUGCAAAUUUAAUCAAGUGUUAAAACUUAGACAAUAUUCGAUACAACAACUAAGAUAAAUUAUAUCAUAUAAAUUAUAUAAUACAAAAGAUAAAUUAUAAAAUAUAAAUUAUACAUCUCAUCUCAAUAUCUAUCCCUACUAACUAAUUACAACAUAGGAUAAAUUAUAUCAUAUAAAUUAUAUAAUACAAAAGAUAAAUUAUAAAAUACAAAUUAUACAUCUCAUCUCAAUAUCUAUCCCCACAAACUAAUUACAACACAUAAUAAAUUAUAUCAUAUAAAUUAUAUAAUACAAAAGAUAAACUAUAAAAUAAAAAUUAUACAUCUCAUCUCAAUAUCUAUCCCCACAAACUAAUUACAACACAUGAUAAAUUAUAUCAUAUAAAUUAUUUAAUACAAAAGAUAAAUUAUAAAAUAGAAAUUAUACAUCUCAUCUCAAUAUCUAUCCCCACAAACUAAUUACAACACAUGAUAAAUUAUAUCAGAUAAAUUAUAUAAUACAAAAGAUAAAUUAUAAAAUAGAAAUUAUACAUCUCAUCUCAAUAUCUAUCCCUACUAACUAAUUACAACACAUGAUAAAUUAUAUCAUAUAAAUUAUAUAAUAUAAAAGAUAAAUUAUAAAAUAGAAAUUAUACAUCUCAUCUCAAUAUCUAUCCCCACAAACUAAUUACAACACAUGAUAAAUUAUAUCAUAUAAAUUAUAUAAUACAAAAGAUAAAUUAUAAAAUAGAAAUUAUACAUCUCAUCUCAAUAUCUAUCCCCACAAAC
rnacentral:lncRNA from 1 species